rfam:Streptomyces autolyticus strain CGMCC0516, complete genome.
CUUGAUCGAGCCCAGCAGCAGCGGCCGUUCGCGCUCCUGCCCGUAGGUGGCCAGCAGUGCCUGUGCCUC